AUUGAUUUUAUGCUUGCAUAAAUGAUUUUUGGAUUCGGAGCGAGUGGCGAACUGGUGAGUAACACGUGGGUAACCUGCCCCGAAGCGGGGGAUAACAUUUGGAAACAAGUGCUAAUACCGCAUAAUUAGUUGGAACCGCAUGGUUCCAACUUGAAAGAUGGCUCUGCUAUCACUUUGGGAUGGACCCGCGCCGUAUUAGUUAGUUGGUGAGAUAAAAGCCCACCAAGACGAUGAUACGUAGCCGACCUGAGAGGGUAAUCGGCCACAUUGGGACUGAGACACGGCCCAGACUCCUACGGGAGGCAGCAGUAGGGAAUCUUCCACAAUGGACGAAAGUCUGAUGGAGCAACGCCGCGUGAGUGAUGAAGGUUUUCGGACCGUAAAACUCUGUUGUUAAAGAAGAACAAGUGUUAGAGUAACUGUUAACACUUUGACGGUAUUUAACCAGAGAGCCACGGCUAACUACGUGCCAGCAGCCGCGGUAAUACGUAGGUGGCAAGCGUUGUCCGGAUUUAUUGGGCGUAAAGCGAGCGCAGGCGGUUUUGUAAGUCUGCUGUGAAAGCCCUCAGCUCAACUGAGGAAGUGCAGUGGAAACUACAAAACUUGAGUACAGAAGAGGAAAGUGGAACUCCAUGUGUAGCGGUGAAAUGCGUAGAUAUAUGGAAGAACACCAGUGGCGAAGGCGGCUUUCUGGUCUGUUACUGACGCUGAGGCUCGAAAGCAUGGGUAGCGAACAGGAUUAGAUACCCUGGUAGUCCAUGCCGUAAACGAUGAAUACUAGGUGUUGGAGGGUUUCCGCCCUUCAGUGCCGCAGCUAACGCAUUAAGUAUUCCGCCUGGGGAGUACGACCGCAAGGUUGAAACUCAAAGGAAUUGACGGGGGCCCGCACAAGUGGUGGAGCAUGUGGUUUAAUUCGAUGCUACGCGAAGAACCUUACCAGCUCUUGACAUCUUCUGCCAACCCAAGAGAUUGGGCGUUCCCUUCGGGGACAGAAUGACAGGUGGUGCAUGGUUGUCGUCAGCUCGUGUCGUGAGAUGUUGGGUUAAGUCCCGCAACGAGCGCAACCCUUAUUAUUAGUUGCCAGCAUUUAGUUGGGCACUCUAGUGAGACUGCCGGUGAUAAA
rnacentral:rRNA from 1 species